rnacentral:lncRNA from 1 species
ACCAUACAUAUAUGAAUAAUAAUUGUAACAAAAAUGGACAGUUUAUAAAGAGAGGAAUCACAUAUAUAUAACAAAAUUUUCACUACACAAGUUUAUUACAGUAUCAUGGUGAAGAAUAAAUUAAAAUAAAAAAGUAUAUGAACCUCAUUAAUGGUGCAAUGGAUUUGGACCAGUUGGAACAAGGCGUUUAUCAACACCAUACAGUGGAUCGAUCUCGGAUUUCUUUGGCUCAUUAGGGUGAGCCAUCCUCGUGUGACUCCGGUAGUGGUGAUCUUGAUGCCGAUGAUGAAGACGACUAUGGCGGUGCCGGUUGAUAAAUGGGGUGAAAUCAAAUCCAGUUGCUAACAUUUUCCUACUUUGAGAAACCGGAAACUUGUUUCCGGUGAUCAUGGUUUUUCCACUAGUACUAGUACUAAUAUUUGAUUUGAAACCAAAAAACAUAUGAAAGAGUAUAAAAAAUAGGAAUAACCAAAUAAUAAAACUAAGUACAUGUUGGAGUUUGAUGGUCAUGGCAAUGAAAGUGAAGUAGAAAGAGAUUGAAAUGAUUGCAUGGAGGGAGAGAGAAUUUUUUUGGAAGAAGAGUUUGAUGAAUAUUGAGGUUUUAGAGGAAGGGAAAGUUUUGAAGGUUUGACAAGGUGCUAAGCAUGCAUAUGAUGAAAUUAUUUUGUUAUGGUAGCUUGACAUGAGGUAGUGCUUGCUUCCAUGAGACUUUAGCUUAUAAAUUAUAUAUAUGUGUGUGUAUAGUAUAUGACUAUAUGGUAUAAUAAUAAAUUUAGGGAGUUGAAUUAAUUUGGAAGGUCCAGUAGAUGCGGAGAGGAGGCAAGAUUGUCGAGCAUUCUUCUUCCAAUGAAGCUUCCUUUGCGUUCAAGGAACAUAGGGUCAUUUAAGAGCAAAUUGUCAAACCUUGAAAUAUAUAUUGGUAUUACCACUAGAACUAGAACAGGUCAAAAAGUUUGUGAUUAUAUUUAUAGGGGUACAUAGUAACGGGUAUAAAUAUAUGAAAUCAGAAUAAAAAUGACAAUGAGUGAGUGAGUAAUAAUACUAUCAUUUAUCCAACGAAAUACUUAAUUGGUAUGUUAUUCAAUAGAUAGAUAAAUAAAUUGUAUCAUAUGACAACAUUCCAAUUUUGUUUUGUACUUUAAAACACAAAACAUCUAAGGAGCCCUUACUAUAGAUCCUUAAAGAAGCCCUCAAAAAUAAAUUAUAUUU